GGCGUGGCUUCGACCAAUUUGUUAGUACUGUGUCUCAGGCGGAGUUGGUGUCGUUGCGUGAUGGGUAAUCUUUAAUAGUAUUCGUUGUCGGUGGAGGAAAAUUUUGACACCAGAGGGAUUUGAUUUCAUCCUUCAGUUGGGAACAUGUUGGAUGGCUUGGAUAACCAGCGAGCCUUGCUGGCUGUGGAACGGUUACAGGCAAAGCUACGGGAAAGAAGGGAUGCGGUAAAUGAAGAGAGGCUGAGCUUAUUGAGAUCUGUUCUACAGAGCCCACUCUUCAACCAAAUCUUGAACUUGCGGAGCUCUGUUCAACAUUUGAAAGAUCA